rnacentral:rRNA from 1 species
GUGCCAGCAGCCGCGGUAAUACGGAGGAUCCGAGCGUUAUCCGGAUUUAUUGGGUUUAAAGGGUGCGCAGGCGGCCUUGCAAGUCAGCGGUCAAAUCGUGGAGCUCAACUCCAUUCCGCCGUUGAUACUGCCGGGCUUGAUUGCGGUUGAGGUUGGCGGAAUUCGUCGUGUAGCGGUGAAAUGCAUAGAUAUGACGAAGAACCCCGAUUGCGUAGGCAGCUGACCAAGCCGUAAAUGACGCUCAUGCACGAAAGUGCGGGGAUCGAACAGGAUUAGAUACCCUGGUAGUCCGCACAGUAAACGAUGAAUACUUGCUUUUGGCGAUACACUGUCAGAGGCAAAGCGAAAGCGAUAAGUAUUCCACCUGGGGAGUACGCCGGCAACGGUGAAACUCAAAGGAAUUGACGG